rnacentral:rRNA from 1 species
GAUGAACGCUGGCGGCGUGCCUAAUACAUGCAAGUCGAGCGAACGGACGAGAAGCUUGCUUCUCUGAUGUUAGCGGCGGACGGGUGAGUAACACGUGGAUAACCUACCUAUAAGACUGGGAUAACUUCGGGAAACCGGAGCUAAUACCGGAUAAUAUUUUGAACCGCAUGGUUCAAAAGUGAAAGACGGUCUUGCUGUCACUUAUAGAUGGAUCCGCGCUGCAUUAGCUAGUUGGUAAGGUAACGGCUUACCAAGGCAACGAUGCAUAGCCGACCUGAGAGGGUGAUAGGCCACACUGGAACUGAGACACGGUCCAGACUCCUACGGGAGGCAGCAGUAGGGAAUCUUCCGCAAUGGGCGAAAGCCUGACGGAGCAACGCCGCGUGAGUGAUGAAGGUCUUCGGAUCGUAAAACUCUGUUAUUAGGGAAGAACAUAUGUGUACGUAACUGUGCACAUCUUGACGGUACCUAAUCAGAAAGCCACGGCUAACUACGUG